GACGAACGCUGGCGGCGUGCCUAAUACAUGCAAGUUGAGCGCUGAAGGUUGGUACUUGUACCAACUGGAUGAGCAGCGAACGGGUGAGUAACGCGUGGGGAAUCUGCCUUUGAGCGGGGGACAACAUUUGGAAACGAAUGCUAAUACCGCAUAAAAACUUUAAACACAAGUUUUAAGUUUGAAAGAUGCAAUUGCAUCACUCAAAGAUGAUCCCGCGUUGUAUUAGCUAGUUGGUGAGGUAAAGGCUCACCAAGGCGAUGAUACAUAGUCGACCUGAGAGGGUGAUCGGCCACAUUGGGACUGAGACACGGCCCAAACUCCUACGGGAGGCAGCAGUAGGGAAUCUUCGGCAAUGGACGAAAAGUUCUGACCGAGCAAACGCCCGCGUGAGUGAAAGAAAGGUUUUUCGGAUUCGUAAAAACUUCUGUUG
rnacentral:rRNA from 1 species